rnacentral:rRNA from 2 species
UACGUAGGGACCAAGCGUUGUUCGGAUUUACUGGGCGUAAAGGGCGCGUAGGCGGCUUAACAAGUCACUUGUGAAAUCUCCGGGCUUAACUCGGAACGGCCAAGUGAAACUGUCAAGCUAGAGUGCGGAAGGGGCAAUCGGAAUUCUUGGUGUAGCGGUGAAAUGCGUAGAUAUCAAGAGGAACACCUGAGGUGAAGACGGGUUGCUGGGCCGACACUGACGCUGAUGCGCGAAAGCCAGGGGAGCAAACGGG